rnacentral:misc_RNA from 1 species
GGAAGUAAAGGUCGUAACAAGGUUUCCGUAGGUGAACCUGCGGAAGGAUCAUUAACGAAUAUAUGUCUGUUUUAAGACAUUUUUCUAUUUCAAACACCUGUGAAUUUUAUGAAAUUUUUGCUUUGGCUGAAAUUAAUAUAUAUAUAUAUAUUUUUUUCGGCCAAACGUUUUUAAUUAAAACCUUUUUAUUUAUAAACAUUUUGAAUCUGAAGACUGUUUUAUGAAAAAUUUAUUUAAAACUUUCAACAACGGAUCUCUUGGUUCUG